GACGAACGCUGGCGGCGUGCUUAACACAUGCAAGUCGAACGGAAAGGCCCUGCUUUUGUGGGGUGCUCGAGUGGCGAACGGGUGAGUAACACGUGAGUAACCUGCCCUUGACUUUGGGAUAACUUCAGGAAACUGGGGCUAAUACCGGAUAGGAGCUCCUGCUGCAUGGUGGGGGUUGGAAAGUUUCGGCGGUUGGGGAUGGACUCGCGGCUUAUCAGCUUGUUGGUGGGGUAGUGGCUUACCAAGGCUUUGACGGGUAGCCGGCCUGAGAGGGUGACCGGCACCAUUGGGACUGAGAUACGCCCCAGACUCCUCCGGGAGGCAGCAGUGGGGAAUAUUGCACAAUGGGCGGACGCCUGAUGCAGCAACGCCGCGUGCGGGAUGACGGCCUUCGGGUUGUAAACCGCUUUCGCCUGUGACGAAGCGUGAGUGACGGUAAUGGGUAAAGAAGCACCGGCUAACUACGUG
rnacentral:rRNA from 1 species